AGUUACAAAUAUGGCGUUUUGGACGGGCUCGAUAGUUUGCUUGGCCUCUACUCAAGGAAUGCUGAUGGUAUAGCAAGAAGGUAUUCUGAGCAUUAUAUCAAUGGGGAAGUUCUAGAUCUUUUGCAAAGCAGGAGCUGCCCUGUUGUGAGCUCUCCGGUGGAGAGCCCCACAUGGCAAGAAAAUGAGAAGCCCCCUGAACAGACAAGAGCUGAGGCCCAGGAUACAAUAUCCUGAAAAAAACUGAAUCCUGCUGACAGUUGCCCAAGUGAAGCUGGAAGUGGAUCUUUCUGCAGUGGAUCCUUGAGAUGACUGUAGCCCUGGCUGACAACUUGAUUGCUGCCUGUGAAGGACCCUGAACCAGAGGACUCAGCGAAAUUGUGCCCAGAUUCCUGACCUACAGAGGCAGUGAGAUAAUAAAUGCUGUUGAGGUCACAAAGUUUUGAGGUAUUUGUUAAUACAGCAAUGGAUACUUAAUACAGCUUCCUACAUGGUCUCCCUCCUUCGACCUUUACACUACAAUCUGUCGUCCACACAGCAGUCAGAGAUCCUUUUAAAA
rnacentral:lncRNA from 1 species